GAUGAACGCUGGCGGCGUGCUUAACACAUGCAAGUCGAACGGUGAAAGAGAGCUUGCUCUCUGGAUCAGUGGCGAACGGGUGAGUAACACGUGAGCAAUCUGCCCCUGACUCUGGGAUAAGCGCUGGAAACGGCGUCUAAUACCGGAUACGAGCUGCGAAGGCAUCUUCAGCAGCUGGAAAGAAUUUCGGUCAGGGAUGAGCUCGCGGCCUAUCAGCUUGUUGGUGAGGUAAUGGCUCACCAAGGCGUCGACGGGUAGCCGGCCUGAGAGGGUGACCGGCCACACUGGGACUGAGACACGGCCCAGACUCCUACGGGAGGCAGCAGUGGGGAAUAUUGCACAAUGGGCGAAAGCCUGAUGCAGCAACGCCGCGCGAGGGACGACGGCCUUCGGGUUGUAAACCUCUUUUAGCAGGGAAGAAGCGAAAGUGACGGUACCUGCAGAAAAAGCACCGGCUAACUACGUGCCAGCCGCCGCCGUAAGAC
rnacentral:rRNA from 1 species